rnacentral:rRNA from 1 species
UCUACGGGUGGCAGCAGUGAGGAAUAUUGGUCAAUGGGCUAAGGCCUGAACCAGCCAAGUCGCGUGAGGGAAGACGGUCCUAUGGAUUGUAAACCUCUUUUGUCGGGGAGCAACGAGGCCACGUGUGGCCGAAGUGAGAGUACCCGAAGAAAAAGCAUCGGCUAACUCCGUGCCAGCAGCCGCGGUAAUACGGAGGAUGCGAGCGUUAUCCGGAUUUAUUGGGUUUAAAGGGUGCGUAGGCGGAGUGUCAAGUCAGCGGUAAAAUUUCGGGGCUCAACCCCGUCGUGCCGUUGAAACUGACACCCUUGAGUGAGUGAGAAGUAAGCGGAAUGCGUGGUGUAGCGGUGAAAUGCAUAGAUAUCACGCAGAACGCCGAUUGCGAAGGCAGCUUACCGGCGCUCAACUGACGCUGAGGCACGAAAGUGCGGGUAUCGAACAGGAUUAGAUACCCUUGUAGUC